CCUCCGUGUUCCUCCACACUCCCCCUUUGAUCAUAAUCCGGGGCAUCUUAGCGGCAGAGUGUCCCGGCAAGGGAGCCGAGGAGAGCUUCGAGAAAGUAGUAACGGCGCUCCGGGCACGGGACGCAAAAGGCCACUUCCUCCCAAGAGCGACCUUCUGCUUUGAAGAGCUCUGCGCAGGCGCGGCGUGGGCAGCCCCGGGAAAUCUCGCGAGAUCUUAGCGGCCGAAGGCAAAAGACGCGGGCGGCCAGGCUGCAACCUUAAGACUGAUGGAGACUAAUCAAACCGCAGGUGCCAAGGCGCCCGACGUGUCGCGCGCAGGAGCUCCAACUCGCAGCGCCAAGCGCCGAGGAUGCCGGACGGACUCAAGAUCCUAACUCUAACCUGAGGGACUGAGCGACUGCUCGCCCCAAAGUGUUCGCUCUCCUUCCUGGAAGAGCCACAAGGGGUUCGAGGCGACGCCCUAGGGACCCUUGGGAAGCGUCACGUCAGCCGCUUUCCCUCAUCCCUCGCUGUUGGGUGUCUGUGGAAC
rnacentral:lncRNA from 1 species